CGGCCUCCCCGAGAGCGAGCCGGCCGCCGCGACCGCCAUCGCGCUAACCGCCGCCAACCGCCACCGAGGUGCCCGGAGAGAGCGGAGAGGCGGCAUGAGCGAGGCGGGCGAGGCCACCACCGGCGGCACCACGCUCCCGCAGGCCGCGGCCGACGCGCCCGCCGCGGCGCCCCCGGACCCCGCGCCUAAGAGCCCGGCGGCCAGCGGCGCGCCCCAUGCCCCGGCGCCCGCCGCGCUGCUCGCGGGGAGCCCCGGCGGAGACGCAGCCCCCGGGCCCGCCCCGGCCUCAUCAGCCCCCGCGGGAAGCGAGGACGCGGAGAAGAAAGUUCUCGCCACCAAAGUCCUUGGCACUGUCAAAUGGUUCAACGUCAGAAAUGGAUAUGGAUUUAUAAACCGAAACGACACCAAAGAAGAUGUGUUUGUACACCAGACUGCCAUCAAGAAGAAUAAUCCACGCAAGUAUCUGCGCAGUGUGGGGGAUGGAGAAACUGUAGAGUUUGAUGUGGUUGAAGGAGAAAAGGUGAGAAGCUGGUAAUGU
rnacentral:lncRNA from 1 species